GGGAGUGCGGCGCACCUGGCCCAGCCGGGCUUGAACUUCUCCCACCGCCAGCAAUAUAAUGGAGUCCUGAGGCCUGGGAACCCCAUUCGCAAGGGCUUGAUGGAAAAGACGGAAGUUCCAGGUUAAAGGGAAGACGGAAGCAUUCACCUCCCUCUGCCUUCUUAUUUUCUUAGUACUUUCCAUUGUUUUGAUGACACCUAUCCACAUCGAUAUCAAGACUCAAGCCAGCUUUGGACCUUGGAGCCUUUUCCUCAGUCUACUGUAUGAAGACGAAUUCUGCCAGACCCAGGAUAAUCACCUCAGCACCUUGCCUGUUCCAGUCUGAUAUUUACAUCUGUGCCCUAUAAUUGACUGCUUAUUGAUUCUAGAAUAAAGUUUUUGAGCAGAUAUUUACCCACAACCAUGCCAUACCCACAACCAUGCCAUGAUGUCAAAUUAACAUCUCUAGGACACUUAAACCUUUGCGAAGUCUCCCUCCCAGUGAAUCAGAGGUGGCCGGGGUGACAGAUCAGUGUGAAUGUGACAGCGAAGCAAAAUUAAUCACAAAAGGCCUCACAGCUUCCUCCUUGGUCUCCUGGAGCACAAGUGUUGGUGAGAGAAGACAGCGCCUAUAUAACAAAGCCACUCACACAGACAGGUGGGGGCCUGGGUUGGCAGGAGCCUGGCUGCAUCCCAUAGGCGGCACCAACUUGGUGGCUAUUAGCUGAGACACCUUGGAUGCGAACCUUGCUUCGGGUGACUUCAGCCCUGUCACGCCUUUGCUUGUGGUCUCAUGAAAGACAUCAAGCUGGAGACAGUCAACAGGGAUUGCUAACUCACAAGACCCGUAAGAGAAAAAGAAAUGAUUAUUGUUUCUUUAAGCCUUUCUGUUUUAGGAAAAGUUCUUAUGCAGCAAAAGAUAACUGUGACAGAAUUCAGCUCACGGUUAUUUAGAAGCUCUGAGGAGAUCUAU